AAAAGAAGCAAAGAAGGUGUGACAGUGUGAAGCACAUAAAACUUUAAAGACUUGAAUAAUUUUCAUAAAUUUACUAUUUUCAAAGAUAAUAACACCCACAACAAAGUUUUGUUCAGCAUGCAAUAUCAACUCUCUGUGUGAUCAAAAGUAUUCACCGUAAGUAUAAUGCAUUAAAUCAAAUUCUCAAACAGAAAACUAACAUUAUCCAGUCUGUCCAGAGGGGGACACCUAAAUAUAGGCCAUACCACUAUAACUCAAUUCCUUACCUAGCUUGCGAGUUUUUUCAGCA
rnacentral:misc_RNA from 1 species